GCAAGUCGAGCGCGCCCUUCGGGUGGAGUGGCGGACGGGUUAGUAACGCGUGGGAACACACCCUUUUCUAUGGAAUAGCCUCGGGAAACUGAGAGUAAUACCAUAUACGCCCUUCGUGGGAAAGAUUUAUCGGUGAAGGAUUGGCCCGCGUUGGAUUAGGUAGUUGGUGGGGUAAUGGCCUACCAAGCCGACGAUCCAUAGCUGGUUUGAGAGGAUGAUC
rnacentral:rRNA from 1 species